GACGAAGGAUGCAAGCGUUAUCCGGAUUCAUUGGGUUUAAAGGGAGCGUAGGUGGUCUUCUAAGUCAGUGGUGAAAUCUCUCGGCUUAACUGAGAAAUUGCCAUUGAUACUGGGAGACUUGAGUGUAGUUCCGUUGGCGGAAUAUGACAUGUAGUGGUGAAAUGCUUAGAUAUGACAUAGAACACCAAUUGCGAAGGCAGCUUACUACAGGAAUAUUGACACU
rnacentral:rRNA from 1 species